ACUAAUUAAAACCAAUAAGGGCGGGUUCUCCUGCCCUCUCGAUUGUCGAAGCAGCACGGACAGACUAUACGUUGAAGGGUCGUUCCCCCUUCAGCGCGAAUACAAGCUCUUCACACAAUCUUCGAGGGUAGCGCUGCUACCCUUUUUUUUCCG
rnacentral:sRNA from 1 species